GUCCACGCUGUAAACGAUGAAUACUAGGUGUGCGGGGACUGACCCCCUGCGUGCCGCAGCUAACGCAAUAAGUAUUCCACCUGGGGAGUACGAUCGCAAGGUUGAAACUCAAAGGAAUUGACGGGGGCCCGCACAAGCGGUGGAUUAUGUGGUUUAAUUCGAAGCAACGCGAAGAACCUUACCAGGGCUUGACAUCCUACUAACGAAGUAGAGAUACAUCAGGUGCCCUUCGGGGAAAGUAGAGACAGGUGGUGCAUGGUUGUCGU
rnacentral:rRNA from 1 species